UACAGAGAUCGAGCCAAUUGCACCAAUUAGAAAUUCAGAGAGAAAAAGAAAAGGAACAGGAGAAAAAAGCUGAAUGCCAGAAGCUGCAUCAUGAAUAUGUAGCUGAACAGAAAAUAAUUAAAGCUGAAGAGAAGCAAAAAGAAGACAAAGACAAUGAUCGGAUUAAAGCUUAUAUUAAAGAAAAAGAAAUGAUGGCUGAUCUGACAAGAGAAAAAUAUGCAGAGACUAACAGGAUGAUACAGAAGCAUAAGGACAAAGCUUUGGAACAAUUAACUGCACAGAUGAAUGAAGCAUUUAAGAUUGAAGAUGAUCGUCUUGCUAGAGGAGCUGCAGAGGUAGAAGUUGAAUACCAAAUGAAAAACAAAGAGAAAGAAAUUAAAAAAAAGGCUGCCAUUGAAUCUAUUGAAGAGCACAGAGCCACUGUGAUAAAGAUGAAAGAGGAAAAAGAGAGACAGGAAAAGGCAGAGGAUGAGAAGGAUCGUAAUCAGAAGAUGACAGAAGAGGACAUCUACCUGGAAAUGGAAAAAGC
rnacentral:lncRNA from 1 species